CCCGCUGAAUUUAAGCAUAUUAGUCAGCGGAGGAAAAGAAACUAACGAGGAUUCCCUCAGUAACGGCGAGUGAAGAGGGAAGAGCCCAGCGCCGAAUCCCCGCCCCGCGGUGGGGCGCGGGAGGUGUGGCGUACGGAAGCCCCCAUCCCCGGCGCCGCUCUCGGGGGCCCAAGUCCUUCUGAUCGAGGCCCAGCCCGCGGACGGUGUGAGGCCGGUAGCGGCCCCCCGGCGCGCCGGGCCCGGGGCUUCUCGGAGUCGGGUUGCUUGGGAAUGCAGCCCAAAGCGGGUGGUAAACUCCAUCUAAGGCUAAAUACCGGCACGAGACCGAUAGCCAACAAGUACCGUAAGG
rnacentral:ncRNA from 1 species